rnacentral:lncRNA from 1 species
UAAGAUAAACUGGUCACAAAAAGAUAAAUACUGUGUUAUUUUAUUUACAGGGGCAUCUAAUAUCAUCAAAAUUAUAGAAAUGAUCAACAGCAAGAUGGUAACUAGGGACUAAGAGGAGAGGAAAAGAGGAACUUUUACUUAAUGGGUUGAGUUUCAGUUCUAAAAGAUGUGAAGCUCUAUAAAAGACCACAAUUAUGUAAGGGUAUUUAAUAUUGAACUAUACACUUAAAAUGGUCAAGGGUGUAUAUACAACACCUGGGGUAUUUUGUCGCCAUGUACAUACAAAAGUCUUCCUGUUCGAGUAGUAGGUGAUGAUCAUUCCCUUGUCUUAUUAUUUAAGGUUGAUGUUAGCAUCAGAUAGGAUAGUGAGCAGACAUGUAAAAUGAUUCAUGGCCCAGGAUAAUUACUACAGCAUUGGAGAGAAACAAUGAUCUACCAAGAGGAGACUGUCUCAGCCACAGGGCAUGGCCACAUGAUGGCAAACAACAAGGAUGCUUGGGCUCAAUCAGGUAGAGCUCCUUCAGGACUGAGAUGCAGAGGAAGCUUGACAAGUGAUGAAGAAAUCUGUUUGACGGCUGAG